AUAACGACUCUCGGCAACGGAUAUCUCGGCUCUCGCAUCGAUGAAGAACGUAGCGAAAUGCGAUACUUGGUGUGAAUUGCAGAAUCCCGUGAACCAUCGAGUCUUUGAACGCAAGUUGCGCCCAAAGCCAUUAGGCCGAGGGCACGCCUGCCUGGGCGUCUCGCA
rnacentral:rRNA from 3 species